GAUAGAGGCGUGCUCGAAAGAGAGCCGUAACACAGGUGCUGCAUGGCUGUCGUCAGCUCGUGUCGUGAGAUGUUGGGUUAAGUCCCGCAACGAGCGCAACCCUUGUCAUUAGUUGCUACAUUCAGUUGGGCACUCUAAUGAGACUGCCGGUGACAAGCCGGAGGAAGGUGGGGAUGACGUCAAGUCCUCAUGGCCCUUAUAGGUGGGGCUACACACGUCAUACAAUGGCUGGUACAAAGGGUUGCCAACCCGCGAGGGGGAGCUAAUCCCAUAAAGCCAGUCGUAGUCCGGAUCGUAGUCUGCAACUCGACUACGUGAAGUCGGAAUCGCUGGUAAUCGUGGAUCAGAAUGUCACGGUGAAUACGUUCCCGGGUCUU
rnacentral:rRNA from 1 species